AUUGAACGCUAGCGGGAUGCUUUACACAUGCAAGUCGAACGAGUGGCGGACGGGUGAGUAAUAUAUCGGACGUGCCCAGUAGCUGGGGAUAACUACUGGGAACGGUAGCUAAUACCGCCUACUAGCGGAUAACCCAUAUGGGAUUAGCUAGUAGGUGAGGUAAUGGCACACCUAGGCGACGAUCCCUAGCUGGUCUGAGAGGAUGAUCAGCCACACUGGGACUGAGACACGGCCCAGACUCCUACGGAGGCAGCAGUGGGGAAUAUUGCACAAUGGGCGCAAGCCUGAUGCAGCCAUGCCGCGUGUAUGAAGAAGGCCCUAGGGUUGUAAAGUACUUUCAGUCGGGAGGCGUUACCGACAGAAGAAGCACCGGCUAACUCCGUGCCAGCCGCCGCGGUAAUAC
rnacentral:rRNA from 1 species